UCAUCUGCUUAAUUCUUGCGCUCUUUCGCCUUCGUUUUUGAAAGGAUUUGAGUCGCAUGGGCGCUGAAUUUUCGCAGCAUUUCAAUCUUGAGAACCUGCGCUCUGCGUUAAUGGCGUUGGUUGUCGUGCAGAAGCCUCGUUCCUUCCUCAGGCUGCGGCCCAAGUCUGUGGUGAUGACUUCUUCAGGGCGCAGUCUGCUCCAGUGGGCCGCCAGCAGAAGGACAGGCAGCCUGCACGUGGACAGGAGCCACGUCGUUUUCAGAAGCAUCCCCGAACCCAAAUCAGAGCUAGACGCUCCUUCUGAAGGCCACUGAGGAAAACCUCCAAAAGACCGCAAACCACGCCUAGUUGCUGUUCGCGUGAAUCUGUGAAUAGGAGGCACCGCAGACAGUGUGCAGAUUUGGAUUGGAUACGUGCGCUGGGCCGCCUGCAUCCCGACAAUAAAAUAAUUCUUCGCGGCUGCUCUCACCAUCAGACCACCUUCGCCAGCGCCAUUGAUGCCCUUUAGAAGGUUCAAUCUGGCUGGACAUACGUGCGGACUGUCUGUACCGCGAGAAACGCACUAAGGAACUGGAGAAGCUGCUGGCGGCCAGCGUUCCGGCGCCAAUGGUGUCGCCGUUCAGCCGCGUGAGGCCAUUCUCGGCGUCCACUGCCCUACAUUCUGUGCUGCCGUCGCUUAGUCAAGCGAACCUCCUGACCUGGCGGCAUGGGCCAAGGAAACCUGUUCUUCCGAGAUUAGAGCGUCGAGUCUUGACGCCGUCAUUGCGUGCUGAGCUGGUGCCGAAAACUUUUGAGACCUAGGAGGGCCUCUUCAACCGCUACCUGACGGCGCCAAACAGGAAACCCGAGGCCUUCUCCCUGUCCUUGGCCGCCACUUCAUGCCUCAAGCUCAACCACGUCCCUUUCUUUCCCUGGCAUCUGCGCCUGGAGCUGUACGUGAAGCGCUGAUGAAAAGCCAGGAUUGGCAUCUGAGCUUUGGAGAAGGAAGCUCACUUCCUGCAGCCGAGAUGCUGAAGAAGGAGCUAAAGUACGACCUCGCAAUAAAUUUUUUCUCGGAUGCUGGAUUUCAACGCGCAUUCUCUUUUUGAGGUGCUGGUGCGCGUCACCUGCAUGCUCCUCCACUAAAAAUACACCACGAAUACCUAGAACAGGGCAAACACACCCGCUAGACCUGUUCCAGCCUCCACUGAUGUGUUUCAGACCUGUCUUUGGCUCGCAUCAGGAAAUGGACAUGACGGCCAUCGAGGACGGCAAGCUGGUGGGCAAGGUGCCUAUGUAGGUGGAGAUCACACUUGUGUGGACAGUUUUUCGUAAGCGUGAAAGGCUGCACCUUUUUUGACAUUAGGACAGAUUUUGAUGGUUCCCGAAAGAGGGGGCUGAUCACGGCAAGCGUUUGUAAAAAAGUAUCGGUUAAUACUGGGCGAGAAAUCGACAACGCGCCAUGUUAAAGAAUAGGGAAGUAUCGAUAUAUCGCCCAGUAUUGACAUAUUUGUAAAACGCUUUCAAAUGCAAAAUUUUGUA